rnacentral:lncRNA from 1 species
GGGCUGUCCUCAGGGCCCUGACAGCACAGGGUAUUAUUUAUACAGCUUUAGGCCAAGGAUCAGAUAGUGAGGCAUAAUCCUAAACUCAUCCUAAGCUGAGUGUUUGGUGACUGAUGGAAAGCAGUGUGUCCAAAUUAGAUUUGCUGUUGAAUUUGAGCUGUUUUCAGAGGGCUGGUACUGAGUAAGGUUGAUUAGAUAUUUUCUGUUUUUCCCAGCCUUCUUUCCACACUACUGCACUGAUGACAGAGCCAGCUCUAGGCAUGAGAACAGUGUUUCUACUGUUUUAGUGUAUCUGAGGGGGCAGAUUGCUCCAGCCAGCAAAACACAUGGCUUUGCAGGACGGCGGUGAGUCCAAGGGAGAUACAUGUUAGAAAGCAGAAGGAGCUCUUCACUGCACAACCACAUCUACUGGCAAAGGACAACUGGGCAGUGAUUACUUCUGAUUAUUUUACCUGAAUUUAUUCAGAGAAGACUUGGCCUCCUAACUGGAAAGAAAAUGAAGUCUAAAUUACAGAAGAGGAAACUUCAAGAAGAGUUUUAAUAGUCAUGU